rnacentral:rRNA from 1 species
UGGGGGCCCUACGGGAGGCAGCAGUGGGGAAUAUUGCACAAUGGGCGAAAGCCUGAUGCAGCGACGCCGCGUGAGGGAUGACGGCCUUCGGGUUGUAAACCUCUUUCAGUAGGGAAGAAGCGAAAGUGACGGUACCUGCAGAAGAAGCGCCGGCUAACUACGUGCCAGCAGCCGCGGUAAUACGUAGGGCGCAAGCGUUAUCCGGAAUUAUUGGGCGUAAAGAGCUCGUAGGCGGUUUGUCGCGUCUGCCGUGAAAGUCCGGGGCUCAACCCCGGAUCUGCGGUGGGUACGGGCAGACUAGAGUGAUGUAGGGGAGACUGGAAUUCCUGGUGUAGCGGUGAAAUGCGCAGAUAUCAGGAGGAACACCGAUGGCGAAGGCAGGUCUCUGGGCAUUAACUGACGCUGAGGAGCGAAAGCAUGGGGAGCGAACAGGAUUAGAUACCCUGGUAGUCCAUGCCGUAAACGUUGGGCACUAGGUGUGGGGGACAUUCCACGUUUUCCGCGCCGUAGCUAACGCAUUAAGUGCCCCGCUCUC